ACUGAUCCGCCUGCCUCGGCCUCCCAGAGUGCUAGGAUUACAGGUGUGACCAGCCUGAUAAAAUAUUUGAUUUAAGCACUUACUUUUCCUUUAAGCCAAUUAAUGAGGCUUUUCCGUAUAUUUUGGUAGAGAAAUACUAUGUACACGUAGCACAGAUAGAUGUAUAGACACAGACAGAAGCGGAUCUUAUAGCUUUUCUAAGCUUCUCCAUUUACCUGUUUUCAAAUAGUCUCUCUCCGCUGUUUAGACCAUCAGUCUCCUGAUUACUCGUUCCUUUGCCCUAAGUAGUUGUUAGCUGGCAGCCCUGAAUUUGCACUUCAAAGGCAGGACUCAGGUAAAACAGGGUAGAAGAUGCAUAAAACUCAGAUCUAUGCACCAUCAGCUGUGGAGACAAAGAAGGGCACAGGUAACGUCCAAGUUCAGACAAGACAGCGGACAACUCCUCAGGCAGAGGUAAGGUUUGCUACCAAAACGUUAAGCCAAUGUUUUCCCUGUUGUAAAAGUGUUUAGUGAUUUAGAUGUAGAGAGAUUUCCUUUAUAGAUAUAAACUUAUUUUACAGAGAGUUUCAAAUUAGCCACCUGGAUGUCAGACAGCUGUAUUUUAGAGACCAUUUGGUCGAGCGGGGGCUUUUCCGUUUAGCCUGGCUCCUCAUAAGAUCCUGAGUCGGGGCAGGCCCUUCGCGAGCAGGGCCAAGGACGCCUGCCAGGCCUGCUUGUCCCCGGGCCAAGCUUUCAACACUCUUUCCCCAGCUUUCCGCUGCCUUUGGGGCGGGACAGCACCUGAGCAGAAGGUAGGUAGUUUCCUUUUCUUGUCACUUAGUCACUUAAGCUUUUUAUUUGGUCUUUUGUAAAGAGCCUUUUAAAAGAGGCAAUACGAGAAUUUUUAAACAUUGAAAUCUUUUUAGAAACUUUUGCACGUCCAUAGCCCUCGCUGGUGGCCUCAUUUGGGAGCCGGCACGUCAGCACCUGAGGACCCAGAGCUGCUCCCAGGAACGUCGAGAAAGCCAGAGUGAGACGAGCCGGCAGGGCGACAGCCGGUCUAGCCGCAGACGAGGCGCAGCCCCAGGUCAGCCCCGGGCAGGUGCGGGCCCAGUGACUCGCUGGCCUCCCGCAGACCCAGAGUCCUGCCAGGUUCUCAGGACAGAAACAAGACAGACGGGAAAGCAACGGCUGCCCGUGGGAGGGAAACAAUCUCAAAGUGCAGCACCGUUCAUCUGGAACGUUCCACGUAAUGGCCAUCCUAAUUGUAUUUACUUAUUUUCAUUAUAAUUUGUUCCUGCAGAUACAUUUCCCAGUUCAAUCUGGGUCGCCGUGACAAUAGGCAGGAAGCACAGAAAUUGUUUUUCUUUUGCAUCCUAGUGCGGUUGGUUAUACUUUUACAUGAUCUUGAGUAAGAUUUUGCCACUUUUAUAUGCAUUUGCAGCUUCCAAGGCCUAAUCCUGACAGACGUCAAUGGCAGGCACAGCCCCAGGGCAGAGUCCUCAGAUCUUUAGACGCCAGGAUCCCAUCUGCACUCGGCUCUCGGGUCCCAGAGCUGAGAGCUUUGGCUCUGAAAUCCCAGAGCUGGAGAAGAAAAGAAACAAAGACCCCCCCCCUGCAGUGAUGGCCGCCUGCUGCGGCUGCCAGAGACCCCGCAGUCACCCAGACCCAGGGUCACGCACCGCCCAUGGCACGGACUACCCAGGCACCCCAGAGCCAGAGAGGGAGCUCCACGGGCAGAGCAGCGCUCAGACCCAGGGGGGCUUACGGCUCCUGGGCUCUGGGAGGGAGAAAGAGGACCCCGCACAAGGGGUCAGUGGCGCCGUCCUGUGUCCCUCUGGGGCUCCACACAGUCUCCUUCAGGUCACACCAUUGGCCACCGGACCUGCCAAAGGACAAAAGUAAAACAUUAAUAUGAAGAUCUCAAUUGGCUUUAUUGAAAUUAGAGUUGGGCAGCACUGCCCUUCACUAGGAGACUCAGUGUCCCCGUGAGCUGAGCAGGGGACGGUGGCUUUAUGGACAGAGGGGCCUUGGCAAGCAGAGCAGAGGACACGAACUGGACGGGUCACUCCACAGUCACGUCGUUGGAAGGCGGCAGCAGGGAGGCAGAAGAAGAGAGAAUUAACUGAUUCGUUAACAUCUGGUCACAUCUACCUUUUUUCACGUAACUGUGCUCCUGCGUCUUCCAACAAAAAGGCAAAAUGCAACUCAGCGCGCUUGCUAACCCACCAGGGAACACAGGGCACCUAAACUGUGACUCCCUGCCGUCAUCUGACCUGGGAACAGACGCAUUCGAGAGGCAAUUGUGAAAGUCAACUGAGUGGAAAUGUGAAUAAUGAAAGCUUUUCUAAUUUUUUUUUGUUGAACAACAUAAAAGUAUGUAAAUUA